UCAGAGGGGUGAUCUGCCAGGCCACAGAAUAAGAACAGAUGGAAACAGACCUGGCCGGUGUGACCCAUCAACUCCCUUCUGCCCACCUGCACCAGAGUCCAUGAAGAGGCCUCUUUGCUCCAUGGAAAGCCUGGGCCCUCAGCCAACAGGGGGUCCCUGGGCCUAGAAGUCAGAGCAAGAUGCAGUGAUGACCUAUACUUAAUGUCCAGAAAAGGGCAUUACUCCAGGAAUCAGAGUGAUACCCCCUCAUACCAGCAACCAAAGACUUGCCAACACC
ensembl:lncRNA